rnacentral:tRNA from 2 species
ACCAGGAUGGCCGAGUGGUUAAGGUGUUGGACUUAAGAUCCAAUGGAUGUAUAUCCCUGUGGGUUCAAACCCCACUCCUGGUA